GCCGUAGAGAACUACCAUUUAUGCGAUAACUCCACUUAUUUAAGUCGCGUCUUAUGUAAGUCGCGACUUAUUUUGUCUCGUAUAAAUGGCCCUAAUGAGUCUGAAGAUAAUGCUUGUGCUUUUUAAACAGUCGAGUUAAAAUACUGUAUAUUAUUAUUAUUCAUGUUUAAGAAUAUUCACCAUCGCAUAAAUUUGAAUUGCGGUUUAUUUACAAC